rnacentral:rRNA from 1 species
UACGGAGGGUGCAAGCGUUAUCCGGAUUCACUGGGUUUAAAGGGUGCGUAGGUGGGAAUGUAAGUCAGUGGUGAAAUCUCCGUGCUUAACUGGAAACUGCCAUUGAUACUAUGUUUCUUGAAUUUUCUGGAGGUAAGCGGAAUAUGUCAUGUAGCGGUGAAAUGCUUAGAUAUGACAUAGAACACCAAUUGCGAAGGCAGCUUGCUACAGGGAUAUUGACACUGAGGCACGAAAGCGUGGGGAUCAAACAGG